AACACUCCGUCGCCUCCAUCGCUCACAUCACCACCAUCUUCAUCGCUCCCAUCACCACCACCAUCUGGAUUGCCUCCACCACAACCAGCACCACCACCUCCGUCACGUCCUCCAUUACUAUCAACAGAUCUAUCAAAUUGAUUUGGCUUGGUUUUGGUAGAUGGAAAAUGGAGUUUGCAGGUUACAAAGAAUCGAUCUAAGUUGAUCCCAAUUGAAAAAUUUUCUCAAUUAGAAGUUCUUCUUCUUCUCAAUCGAUACAACAAUCAACUCGAAUUUCAGAUCCAUUUGAUACAACAACAAUUAUUUUUGAUUGAACGGGAUCAGAAGAUGAUUUAUUCGCUGCUUAUUGAUAAUGAGAAAUCUGGAUCCAUAAUUGAAGCCUUGUACUGUAGGGAAAAUGCAGAGUGCGUAAGGAGCUAUUAAGAUACUUGUUUUUGAUGAAACUGCUCACAUGUUGGCUGAGGUAUUUAUAAUUUCCUCUAUAUUUUGCUAGACUGUAGAGAAAUUAGGGUAGUACGAGUCCUUUUUGGCCAACUAUGAGAACCUAAAUGUGCAUGAUGGAUUUAGGGAUGAUUCCACUAGGAUCAUGAGGGAUAUCAAAGCAAGUAGUGUAUAUUGCCAAGUAAGUAAUUGAACUUCAAAUACAUAAUAGCGAAGACAGAGAAAUUGUGUUGGAGUGUGACAAAUUACAUGAUAGCAGUGGUUCCCUAGUUCUUAUGUUAAUACUGGAGUUGUUUAGUAAUGCUAUUGAGGAGCAUUAAUUGAAACCUUCACGGCCUUUCUGUAUUUGAUUUCCUCAUAAUAGGUACUAGGGCGUUACUUUUCUUUUCUUUUUUCUAUACUCAAGUGAAUAGGCCAAUUUUCCUCGUGGGAGUUCAUUUUUCUUAUAACUUUUUUUCUAAUGCAUUGUCUAACAUUAUUUAUGGUGUUAAAAAAGUAGUGUUAACAUUAUUUAUGGGUGCUGACAACAUAGUUGUUGAUGGUAACUGUGAAGAUAACUUCUUAUUUUAUGCACACAAAAGACUUACAAAACAGGUAUGUGUAAUGACCCUUGUUUUCUACACGCAAAAGACUUACUACUGCAAAAUUUAUUUAGCAUAUAGCUGCAGUGAUGUUCCCCUCUAGUAACUGAAGUAGUUAUACUACAAACUUGUGGUGCAAUGGUAGCACAACUGACUCCAUGUCGGAAGAUGCGUGUUCGAUUCACGUCAGGUUCACUAAUUUAGUAAUUUUAGUACAUUAAUUUUUGGGAUCAAUUUUGGUUGUUGACAGUAAAUUUCGGGACCAACUUUGGUUGUUGACACCAUAUUUUGGGAUCAACUUUGGUUGUUGAAGCCAUAAAAAAUCUGAAAUUUUAAUUUUGGGAUCAACUUUGGUUGUUGACUGUAGAUUUCGGGAUCAACUUUGGUUGUUGACACAAUACAUAGUCUGAAUUUUUAAUUUUGGGGAUCCACUUCGGUUGUUGAUACCAUAUUUUAUUGUUCUGAUUUUUGUUUUGGGAUCAACUUUGGUUGUUGACACAAUUUUUUUUUUCUGAUUUUUGUUUUGGGUCAACUUUGGUUGUUGACACCAUCGAUGGUGGU